AAAGCCUCGAAGGAGGUUGUGUGGGUUGGUUGGAACUGAUUUUCCUUCUGGUGGAGUUUAAGAGAGCCCCAUUCCCAACCAGAAGCCUUGCAAAUAGCGUGAGCGUCAGGGCACGGUGGGUGUGAGAGGGACCGAGCGCCACCAUUGGGGCGACUCGGGGCCUCACAUCUGCGCAGGCUAAGUGAGAGCCCAGGUCGUAGUCCUGGCUUCAUAGGAGUCCUUUAGUUUGCAAAGCACUUUCCUGUGCUCUCUUAGGGCCCAUGCAGACGACCAGCGGAGACUUCGGCUGGGGAGUCCACGUGUAGGUGUCAGCGCGAGGGCCAGAGGAGCCUGGUAGACAAUGGGCACCUUCGGAAGGCUAGCCCAGUGGCGGUAUAGACGAGAAGACCAGCGCUCGGCAGCGUGCACUCCGUGGCGUCCCGGUAGCUCGCCGUGAUCGUAUAGUGGUUAGAAGAGUGCAGAUUAGACAAUACACUGUGACGAGUGAAAAAUGCGACCGUGCUGGCGGCGCUGGUUCUCAUAGCCUCCAUGAGGGGUGCUAACGAGCAGUUUGCGGCCUCCAUCUCCACAACCUCGGAGUGAGAAGGUGGUUUCAUGCUGGGCAAUGAGCUGCUCCCCAGAAUCUGGGGAGAAAGUCUGGAGCAGUGACUCUCUUGGAGUAUUCGAGUAAAAGCAAUCAACCAAGAAAAUAAAAACCACAAACAUACACCAUCUGAGGUAACCCACUCAGCCAUUUACAUCCAACCAAGGCAGCUGAAGCGUAUUCUGAGGGCAGGAAUGCCCUAAAGAAAGUCAACAGAAGGUUCCUGGUUGCAGGAAGAGUAACUGAAGGGGAAGGUGCUCUCCUGCACCUCCAACUGCUGACCUUUUCGGCAGGUAUACCAUUAUCCUGGAGAUGGGUGCAUCCAGCUCGUGAAAUUUCAUAAUAUCCUCUUCCAAGGUCACUCACUCAAUUCCCCUUACUCUGAUUUCAGGCCCACAAAACAGACUUUUGCUAAUGAUUUGACUGCCCGUGUAGACGUUCCUGCAGGGAAGAGCAUUGCUCUGAACAAGCUUCUGAGUAGUUGGCAUUUGUUCUUCUUACUCUUGGUAUUUCGGUUUAGACUCUUAAGAGUCUGGUUGGUAUGAUUCAUUGCCCUUGAAUCUGCUUAUCUCUGGGCGCACUGGCAAAACGGAGUUUCUGGGCUGGCAAAGCUGUGAGCUAGAGACUCUGCCCUGGGAUGACCUCACCAGGAUUGCUGCUCUGUGACACCCUCUCUGAGCAGUCAGCACCCUCCUCCUUUGACCUCUUGUUUUAAACCCACGUUUUGUAGUUUUUGAUUCUGGGGAUAUGAUCCUUUUCCCCCACCCCUUCCAGCGUGAGGUCCGAGCUCUUCUCUAGGUCUCAGCACCAGCAAAGAGGCAGGCAGAACUUCAACGGGCAAACCUUGAAGGGAACAACUGUAAUUUAUAAGCUUCGGAGUGUUUGCUUCAACUAACAACCCCAUGGCUACCUGGUCACACCGGAGCAUCUGGGAGCUGUUGCUGCUGCAGCUGCCGGUCACCACAAGGGUGCAGUACAGACUGGACCAGCAUCCCGGUAUCACCUGGAAGCUGGUUCAAAUUCAGAAUCUUGGUCCACAACACAGAACUACUGGAUGAGAAUCUUCACUUGAACAAGAUCCUCCCCAGAUGAUUCAUCUGCACCUUCAAGUUUGAGAAGUGCUGCUGUCAUCUAGAGGAACUACCUGGCUCUAAGGGAGGUCUUCACUGUUCACCUUGUGAGUACUUGGGGUUCCUAAAAGGGACCUGCCCAUGUCUACUGGGCCUCAUCGAUGGGGGUGACUUUGAGGUUGUGAGGAAGGAAAGAGGGAGAUCUGGGAGGGAGUCACUGAGGGGCCCAUGUUUGGGGGCAUCUAAGGAGGAGGCAGCUUCCUGGACUUCCACUAGGAGGCGCUGCACCCCAGGAAGUGGAAGUAGAACGCUGAGGCUGGAUAAGACUCAGUCUAGAGGACUCCACUUUGGACUUCACCCCUCCAACAUGGAUUCUCUGGAUGUUCCUGACUCAAGUUCCAUUCAUUCAUUCAUUCACUCAUUCACUCACCAUUCAAAAUAGCAUCUUUUAGCUCUUAAAGUACAGUACAUCAUAGGGAGCUGCAAAGCUGUAUACAGAUACUUCUUGCCCAUGUGGUUUACUUUCCAGCUGGAAGAAAAUACUAGCCCACAGGCAACAAUAAGAAAACAACAGAAGACAUGCUGUAGAUGGAAGAGGCAUUUCUCACUGCGGUGGAAGGAAACUCUCCAAGGAAGAGCUGACAUAAGCUUCCAGCAGAAUUGUAAAAUAACUGAAAUUUGUUUUCAGCACUUCCAGCCCCCUCAUUCUGACACCCCUCCACCUCUUUGUGUUGUCGUUAUCUCAUUGAUUCUCAUUCAUUUCAAUUAAAAAUAUUUAUUGAUGGCC